UUCAAUAUGGCGGUUCCGUCUGUCGUUGAAUUGUUUAGGCUUAGGCUUGUUUUUACUCUUGAGUGUUGAGAUUGGAAUUUUGUCGUUGGGAUUUCUAUUCAUAGGUUGGUUAUUUUCGUUCGUAGUUGUUGAUUCGGGGGGGGGGGGGGGGGAUAUAUUUAGUUUGUGUUGCUGCUUUAAAAUUUGUUUGGAUUGAGAUUUGCAAUAUCGAGCUGAUGGUGAUCAUUUUGAGGCUUUUGGUUGAGGAUUUCGGACUUUGGUUUUCAUCGAUUCAUUAUUAUCAGUGAAAAUCUGCUCUCUUGAGGUCCAAUUCUACUCCUUUCAUCUUUUAUUUCAUUAUUGGUGAUGUUUGAUGUGUUGGAUUGAAUAUCUUAAUUGCUUGUGUGUGAUGUGAAUGUUGAAUAUUGAUUUUACAGUAAUUGUGGAUUGUUGAAAAUAGUGGUGUGAAUUAUUAUGUUUGAUCUUGGUUUAAAAUUAAAUUGGGGUAGGAUUGAGAUUUGAAAAUUGAUAAAAUAAAAAAAAGCAAGCUUUAAUUUAUUUUUGAAUCAUUGCUGACGUUGAAUGUGAUAAUGCCAUGAUAGAUAGAGCUCAUGUAGGAAAACAUAGGUUGGGUACGCAAACUUAGGAAUGGUGAUUUGUGAAUGUGUAAUGUGAUUGGUUCGUUCUACUUUAUCACACACAUAGUUGAAAUUGUACUCAUUUGGCCAGGGAAUGCCCCGAGUAUUUGUAUUGAUUUAACCAGGGAAUACCUCGAAGUAUCAUGUACGCAAAAGAGGUCCGUGAUCAAGGCCUGAGGAAUCGGGUAAAGCAUUGGAGCGUAGUUUAGGACUAGCUUAGAAUAGGAUUUAUAUUUUUUUCGCAUUUUUCUAUUUUGGACUGUAUAAUUGGACUAGACAUUAUUAUUUUAGUUUUGGACUGUUGUUUGAUGUGUUUGUUGC
rnacentral:lncRNA from 1 species